UACGUAGGGCGCAAGCGUUGUCCGGAAUUAUUGGGCGUAAAGAGCUCGUAGGCGGUCUGUUACGUCCGCUGUGAAAACCCAAGGCUUAACCCUGGGCUUGCAGUGGAUACGGGUAGACUAGAGGCAGGUAGGGGAGAAUGGAAUUCCCGGUGUAGCGGUGAAAUGCGCAGAUAUCAGGAGGAACACCGGUGGCGAAGGCGGGUCUCUGGGCCGAUACUGACGCUGAGGAGCGAAAGCGUGGGGAGCGAACAGG
rnacentral:rRNA from 1 species